rnacentral:misc_RNA from 1 species
GGAAGUAAAAGUCGUACAAGGUUUCCGUAGGUGAACCUGCGGAAGGAUCAUUAUUGAAUGAAACACUUCUGGCUUUAUGCUGUUGUGCUGGCCCUUUGGGCAAUGUGCACACGGCUCUGGUCACUUGUUUCUUCUGUUCCACCUGUGCACUGCCUGUAGACACGCUGUGUCUAUGAUAUUUGUUAACACACAGCAAUGUUAGUUGGCAUGUUAUAUAUAAUAAUAAAAUAUACAACUUUCAACAACGGAUCUCUUGGCUCUC